CCUUUUCUCCCAGGCAUCUGAAGUAAACAAAAUAAGACGUACACGUCACCACAUGCCACAUAGAAUGAGCUCGAAGGAAAAACGCCGGGUAGAGGUCGUGGCAUAUCAAACGUCAUCAGUUUACUUUGAAGGUUAUGCCAUCAACCCGCAUGGCAGGGAUUUUUAAAAAGCUGUUGGACUUGAACCCUUUUGCAAUUUCGCUCUUGAGAAGUUCCUUAAGAGGAAUUGUCCCGCCCUUGUUAACAAUUUUUACGAAUCAAAUGGAAAGCAUUUUGCUUAAAUGGUGGCCAAAAUGCUGUGAUCGUGUAUGUUAAAAAAAAAGUUAAAAAUAGCUCGAAUAUACAUUAUUCGUCUUUGGGUGCAUAGACCUUCUUGCUUUCGUGAAGAAUUUUCUAGAAUGACUCCCCACACCGCCCUGACAUGUAAACCCUCUUCGUCAUCCAUCCACGUAAAAAGGAAAGAGAAAUGAAAUUGUGUCUUUCUUACCUCCAUCUGAGAAUCUCUCGUCAAGGAAGACUUCUGCCGCAACAACGCCGAUUAAGGCGAUUAAUAAUGUUAAAGCUUUCAUUUGUA